UGCAUAGACAAAGCUGUGGUUGUUCAAAGUUAUAUGUGGAUGUGAGAGUUGAACUAUAAAGAAAGCUGAGUGCUGAAGAAUUGAUGCUUUCAAAUUGUGCUUGAGAAGACUCUUCAGAGUCCCUUGGACUGCAAGGAGA